AGUGAACGCUGGCGGUAGGCCUAACACAUGCAAGUCGAACGGCAGCACAGUAAGAGCUUGCUCUUACGGGUGGCGAGUCGCGGACGGGUGAGGAAUACAUCGGAAUCUACUUUUUCGUGGGGGUUAACGUAGGGAAACUUACUCUAAUACCGCAUACGACCUACGGGUGAAAGCAGGGGAUCUUCUGACCUUGCGCGAUUGAAUGAGCCGAUGUCGGAUUAGCUAGUUGGCGGGGUAAAGGCCCACCAAGGCGACGAUCCGUAGCCGGUCUGAGAGGAUGGUCAGCCACACUGGAAGUGAGACACGGUCCAGACUCCUACGGGAGGGAGCAGUGGGGAAUAUUGGACAAUGGGGGCAAGCCUGAUCCAGCCGUAGCGCGUGGGUGAAGGAAGCCUUCGGGUUGUAAAGCCCGUUUGUUGGGAAAGAAAAGCAGCAGGUUAAUACCCCGCUGUUCCGACGGUACCCAAAGAAUAAGCACCGGCUAACUUCGUG
rnacentral:rRNA from 1 species